rnacentral:rRNA from 1 species
AUGGAACGCUGGCGGCAUGCUUUACACAUGCAAGUCGAACGGUAACAGGGUGCUUGCACCGCUGACGAGUGGCGAACGGGUGAGUAAUGCGUCGGAACGUGUCGAGUAGUGGGGGAUAACGCAGCGAAAGUUGUGCUAAUACCGCAUACGUACUGAGGUAGAAAGUGGGGGACCUUCGGGCCUCACGCUACUCGAGCGGCCGACGUCUGAUUAGCUAGUAGGUGAGGUAAAGGCUCAACUAGGCGACGAUCAGUAGCGGGUCUGAGAGGAUGAUCCGCCACACUGGGACUGAGACAAGGCCCAGACUCCUACGGGAGGCAGCAGUGGGGAAUUUUGGACAAUGGGCGAAAGCCUGAUCCAGCCAUGCCGCGUGUCUGAAGAAGGCCUUCGGGUUGUGAAGGACUUUUGUCAGGGAGGAAAUCCCUAGUGCUAAUAACACUGGGGGAUGACAGUACCUGAAGAAUAAGCACCGGCUAACUACGUGCCAGCAGCCGCCGUAA